rnacentral:rRNA from 1 species
CAGUCGCCACGGUAAAACAGAGGGUGCGAGCGUUAAUCGGAUUUACUGGGCGUAAAGCGUGCGUAGGCGGCUUUUUAAGUCGGAUGUGAAAUCCCUGAGCUUAACUUAGGAAUUGCAUUCGAUACUGGGAAGCUAGAGUAUGGGAGAGGAUGGUAGAAUUCCAGGUGUAGCGGUGAAAUGCGUAGAGAUCUGGAGGAAUACCGAUGGCGAAGGCAGCCAUCUGGCCUAAUACUGACGCUGAGGUACGAAAGCAUGGGGAGCAAACAGGAUUAGAUACCCGUGUAGUCCCUGUCUCUUAUAC